CAGACCACUGGAAAUACAUGUUAACUCAUCUGCAGGGAUACUGGGUGAUAUUGGCAGUGACUGUUCUACAUUGAGGCUUUGUUUGGUUUAUUUAUUAAAGUGUACAGUAUUUAAAAAUCAAACAUAGCUUUAGUUGAAACACUAAGCUGAUUAGUCAUGUCCAUUCAGACAUAGCCUGAACUACUGAAAAGAUCAAUUUCCAGAAGGUUUAUUCUGUAUAAACUACAUGUUUAGUCUUCAGUAGAGUAUCUUUCACAUUUUCUUUCUACCCUUUUUUUUCCUUUUUUCCCCCCCUUUUUUGAUUUUGGUUGUUUGAUGUGCAAUAUGUUUUUGUAUGCAGGUAGUAAAAUAAACUUUGAUCUUCCAUUUGCUGAUUUUUAACUUUCUACUUUUUAUGCCAAUUGUUUGAAAGUAGGAGUACUUGAGGCCUAGAAUAGAUAGCAUUCUUCGAUUGCUUUUCAGAAGCAUUUGUUUCUCAGAUCUAGUGUUAAAAUCUAACCAUUUUAUCAUUUGUAAUGGACCCUCCAAAGUUAACACUUAAGUUUUGGCUAGUAAACGAUUCAGGAAAUGUAUAAUGUCUU
rnacentral:lncRNA from 1 species